CUCUGUGUGGCUAAGAGUGAUCUAAGAGAAGUUAUUUCCUCAAGAUAUUUUGAAGCUGUAGUGUGGGGAAACAGUUCUCAAACCCCAGUGUGGAUCAGGAUCACCUGGAGGGCUUACUAAGCUACAUAUUGUUGGGUCCACCCCAGAGUUUCGAUUCAGUCGAUCAGGGGAUCAGAGGUGGGGCCUAAGAAUUUGCAUGUUUUUAACUCUUUUUUUUUUUUUUUUUUUUUGAGAUGGAGUCUCGCUCUGUCACCCAGGCUGGAGUACAGUGGCAAGAUCUCGACUCACUGCAACCUCUGCCUGCCGGGUUCAAGCAAUUCUCCUGGCUCAGCCUCCCAAGUAGCUGGGAUUACAGUGUACCACACCAAGGAACUCCCACACUCUGAAUGAACAGCCCAGUGAUCAGGAGCUUUGAAUCAAUUCUUGGCACCUAACAGUUUGUGAAGAGUCUGCUAAACUCCCUCUAUCAGAAAUCCCAGAGGACUGAGAACAGGUCAUCCUUGGAGGCUCUUUGACAAAAGUCUCCAGAAAACUACUGAAC
rnacentral:lncRNA from 10 species